CCCGGAUGUUAGCGGCGGACGGGUGAGUAACACGUGGGUAACCUGCCUGUAAGACUGGGAUAACUCCGGGAAACCGGAGCUAAUACCGGAUAGUUCCUUGAACCGCAUGGUUCAAGGAUGAAAGACGGUUUCGGCUGUCACUUACAGAUGGACCCGCGGCGCAUUAGCUAGUUGGUGGGGUAAUGGCUCACCAAGGCGACGAUGCGUAGCCGACCUGAGAGGGUGAUCGGCCACACUGGGACUGAGACACGGCCCAGACUCCUACGGGAGGCAGCAGUAGGGAAUCUUCCGCAAUGGACGAAAGUCUGACGGAGCAACGCCGCGUGAGUGAUGAAGGUUUUCGGAUCGUAAAGCUCUGUUGUUAGGGAAGAACAAGUGCGAGAGUAACUGCUCGCACCUUGACGGUACCUAACCAGAAAGCCACGGCUAACUACGUGCCAGCAGCCGCGGUAAUACGUAGGUGGCAAGCGUUGUCCGGAAUUAUUGGGCGUAAAGGGCUCGCAGGCGGUUUCUUAAGUCUGAUGUGAAAGCCCCCGGCUCAACCGGGGAGGGUCAUUGGAAACUGGGAAACUUGAGUGCAG
rnacentral:rRNA from 2 species